rnacentral:rRNA from 1 species
AACAAACGCUGGCGGCGUGCCUAACACAUGCAAGUCGUACGAGAAAGUCGGCUUCGGCCGGUGAGUAAAGUGGCGCACGGGUGAGUAACGCGUGGAUAAUCUGCCCUCCGGUCAGGAAUAACCAAUCGAAAGGUUGGCUAAUACCCGAUCACACUCUUGCACUGCGGUGCAAUAGUCAAAGAUGGCCUCUGUAUACAAGCUAUCGCCGGGGGAUGAGUCCGCGUACCAUUAGCUGGUUGGUGGGGUAAUGGCCUACCAAGGCGAUGAUGGUUAGCUGGUCUGAGAGGAUGGCCAGCCACACUGGAACUGAGACACGGUCCAGACUCCUACGGGAGGCAGCAGUGAGGAAUCUUGCGCAAUGGGGGAAACCCUGACGCAGCAACGCCGCGUGAGUGAGGAAGGCCCUCGGGUCGUAAAGCUCUGUCGAGCGGGAAGAAAUGUAUCAUGGCUAAUAUCCAUGAUACUUGACGGUACCGCUAAAGG